UGGGGGAUAUUGGACAAUGGGGGGAACCCUGAUCCAGCAACGCCGCGUGAAUGAAGAAGGCCUUCGGGUUGUAAAGUUCUUUUGUCUGGGAGCAAAGCUACGAAGUUAAAAGCUAUGAAGUUUGAGAGUACCAGAAGAAUAAGCACCGGCUAACUACGUGCCAGCAGCCGCGGUAAUACGUAGGGUGCGAGCGUUAAUCGGAAUUACUGGGCGUAAAGGGUGCGUAGGCGGAAAUACAAGUUAGAUGUGAAAUACCUGAGCUUAACUGAGGAACUGCAUUUAAGACUGUAUAUCUAGAGUUAGUAAGAGGAUGGGGGAAUUCCGAGUGUAGCAGUGAAAUGCGUAGAUAUUCGGAGGAAGAUCAGUGGCGAAGGCGCCCAUCUGGUAUAUAACUGACGCUGAGGCACGAAAGCGUGGGGAGCAAACAGG
rnacentral:rRNA from 1 species